rnacentral:lncRNA from 1 species
GGCACCUGAGGAAAGACAAGGAGUGAGGAACAGCUAGAGGACACGAGAGCAAGGGGGAACAGCAAGGGCCAAGACCUGGAAACAGGAGCAAAAGUGUCUUGUUUGAGGACCAGAGAGACCAUGUGGAUGGAGUCCAGUGGGCAGGAGGGAGUUAGCAGGUCAGUUAGCAGGUCAGCUUGGAGAAGCAGGGGCGGGGCGUCAGGCAGGACGUGGAGGCCUCAGCCAUACGCUGAUCAAGGGUGCAGCUACUGGGGCUUUUGAGUAGAGAAAUUGCAACAUUCAUCCUACUGUCUUUUCUUGGGUCUAAGAUGCCUUGGAUUUUAAGACCUGUUAUGCAAAAGUUACCAUUUCAUGUCUGACACUGGGGCUUCCUUUUUGUUGAUGAUUCUUACCUUGAUUUAAGAAAUGUUAAAACGUAAAAACAAACAAAAAAGUGCUUUGGAAACCUAAAAUGUAAUAUGUUCCCUAAAAAGCAUUCUGUCUGCUUCAUCGGGCGUAGGCUACAAGGGAGGCCUUUGCAAUUCAGCCGUCCAGGGUGUGUGAAAAAUGACCCAGAUGUGGAGAUGUUUGAGGUGAGAGGAAAAGAAACUCGAAGGUUUUUGGUUUCUGCAACAGUAAGUCGUCAUUUACUGAGAUGGAGAAAACUAUGAGAGGAACAGAUUUUGUGGGGGACAGUUAGAACUUUGUUUUGGACAUGGUUGAGAGUCUCAGACUUCCAAGGGGAGAUAUCGAGUAGCACACAUGCAUGCACACCACACACACACUCACACACACACACACACACACUCUCUCUCUAUCUCUCUCUCUCUCUCUCACACACACAUACACACACACACACACGUCAGUUCUCAUUCCUGGUGGAGUCCACAUUUGUGAAUUUUCUUUUUCACUGAUAUUUAUUGAUCCUCAGAUGAACGCAGAGUCUCACAGUCGUUCAUGGCCACGUGUGGACAGGUGGAAGCUUUGGGCUGCCCAGCGCCCGUGCUCUCAGCUGAGAUCAGAGGCACUGGCCUUGGCCUCCGGCUCUCCUGCUGAAGCCCUUCUCUUCCUCCAGCCCUAACCGGUGCUUCGUUUUUUGCUUGCUCGUGCUUUUUCUUGGUG